rnacentral:rRNA from 1 species
UACGAGGGGGGCAAGCGUUGUUCGGAAUUAUUGGGCGUAAAGGGUGCGUGGGCGGUUUUGUAAGUCUUGUGUGAAAUCUUCAGGCUCAACUUGAAGACUGCACGAGAAACUGCAGGGCUUGAGUGUGGGAGAGGUGAGUGGAAUUCCCGGUGUAGCGGUGAAAUGCGUAGAUAUCAGGAGGAACACCUGUGGCGAAAGCGGCUCACUGGACCACAACUGACGCUGAUGCACGAAAGCUAGGGGAGCAAACAGG